UUCGCAAUGCCCGAAAGGGUGACGAAGCGACGCCGCGUGGGUGAGGAAGGCCUUCGGGUUGUAAAGCCCUGUCAGGAGUUAAGAAAUGUAGACUCGCUAAUAUCGGGUCUAUUUGACAAAGGCUCCAAAGGAAGCCACGGCUAACUCUGUGCCAGCAGCCGCGGUAAUACAGAGGUGGCAAGCGUUGUUCGGAAUUAUUGGGCGUAAAGAGCACGUAGGUGGAUUUGUAAGUCAGACGUGAAAGCCUUCUGUUCAACGGAAGAAUUGCAUCUGAAACUACAAACCUUGAGUGUAGGAGGGGAGAAUGGAACUUCUGGUGGAGCGGUGAAAUGCGUAGAUAUCAGAAGGGACGCCGGCGGCGAAAGCGAUUCUCUGGCCUAUUACUGACACUCAGUGUGCGAAAGCUAGGGGAGCAAACGGGAUUAGAUACCCCGGUAGUCCUAGCCGUAAACGAUGGGCACUAAGUAGAGGGGUUUU
rnacentral:rRNA from 2 species